rnacentral:rRNA from 1 species
GAGAGUUUGAUCCUGGCUCAGGACGAACGCUGGCUGCGUGCCUAAUACAUGCAAGUCGAGCGAGCGGAACUAACAGAUUUACCUCGGUAAUGACGUUAGGAAAGCGAGCGGCGGAUGGGUGAGUAACACGUGGGGAACCUGCCCCAUAGUCUGGGAUACCACUUGGAAACAGGUGCUAAUACCGGAUAAGAAAGCAGAUCGCAUGAUCAGCUUUUAAAAGGCGGCGUAAGCUGUCGCUAUGGGAUGGCCCCGCGGUGCAUUAGCUAGUUGGUAAGGUAAAGGCUUACCAAGGCGAUGAUGCAUAGCCGAGUUGAGAGACUGAUCGGCCACAUUGGGACUGAGACACGGCCCAAACUCCUACGGGAGGCAGCAGUAGGGAAUCUUCCACAAUGGACGCAAGUCUGAUGGAGCAACGCCGCGUGAGUGAAGAAGGUUUUCGGAUCGUAAAGCUCUGUUGUUGGUGAAGAAGGAUAGAGGUAGUAACUGGCCUUUAUUUGACGGUAAUCAACCAGAAAGUCACGGCUAACUACGUGCCAGCAGCCGCGGUAAUACGUAGGUGGCAAGCGUUGUCCGGAUUUAUUGGGCGUAAAGCGAGCGCAGGCGGAAGAAUAAGUCUGAUGUGAAAGCCCUCGGCUUAACCGAGGAACUGCAUCGGAAACUGUUUUUCUUGAGUGCAGAAGAGGAGAGUGGAACUCCAUGUGUAGCGGUGGAAUGCGUAGAUAUAUGGAAGAACACCAGUGGCGAAGGCGGCUCUCUUGGUCUUGCA